ACUCGCUACCUGAGAAGCUUGCUGGUUAAGAAGUAGAGUCAGAGGUCGUGGGGCCAGAAGGCGUUCCUGCCGCUGGCUUGGUGGCUAUGUAGCGGAGGGGCAAGCGUCCUCCUGCAUGUUCUGGAAGGUUCUUGUGCUCAACUAGGGCAGUAGCCCCAAGACUUGUAGUCGCCGGCUUCGGGUCCCUGGCGGCCGAGCGGAGUCGCCGCCAUGUUUGGCUGCUUGGUGGCUGGGAGGCUGGUGCAAACAGCUGCACAGCAAGUGGCAGAGGAUAAAUUUGUUUUUGACUUGCCUGAUUAUGAAAGUAUCAACCAUGUUGUGGUUUUUAUGCUGGGAACAAUCCCAUUUCCUGAGGGAAUGGGAGGAUCUGUCUACUUUUCCUAUCCUGAUUCAAACGGAAUGCCUGUAUGGCAACUCCUAGGAUUUGUCACAAAUGGGAAACCAAGUGCCAUCUUCAAAAUUUCAGGUCUUAAAUCUGGAGAAGGAAGCCAACACCCUUUUGGAGCCAUGAAUAUUGUCCGGACUCCAUCUGUUGCUCAGAUUGGAAUUUCAGUGGAAUUAUUGGACAGUUUGGCUCAGCAGACUCCAGUAGGCAAUGCUGCUGUAUCCUCAGUUGACUCAUUCACUCAGAAAUUGCCACAGCCACCCCAACCUUCAGAAACUACCACCCUGAUCAGUCAGCAGCCAUCAACAUCAAGGCAAGACGCUCUACCAGCAAAAAGAUUACGACUUGCUGAACGCUCAGAUGAUGUUUAGCAUUUUUUAGCAAUAAAGUAUUUUUUAAUGAAGUGGUCUGGAACUGAACUGCAAUAUGUCCGAGUUCACACAAAAGAUGUUGGACAACUUCUAUAAUUUUGCUUCAUCGUUUGCUGUCUCUCAGGCCCAGAUGACACCAAGUCCAUCUGAAAUGUUCAUUCCAGCAAAUGUGGUUUUGAAAUGGUAUGAAAACUUUCAAAGACGACUAGCACAGAACCCUCUCUUUUGGAAAACAUAAUUUGAAUAAAAUAAUUUUUAAUGGA